rnacentral:rRNA from 1 species
AUUGAACGCUAGCGGGAUGCUUUACACAUGCAAGUCGAACGGCAGCGCGGACUUCGGUCUGGCGGCGAGUGGCGAACGGGUGAGUAAUGUAUCGGAACGUGCCCAGUAGCGGGGGAUAACUACGCGAAAGCGUAGCUAAUACCGCAUACGCCCUACGGGGGAAAGCAGGGGAUCGUAAGACCUUGCACUAUUGGAGCGGCCGAUAUCGGAUUAGCUAGUUGGUGAGGUAACGGCUCACCAAGGCGACGAUCCGUAGCUGGUUUGAGAGGACGACCAGCCACACUGGGACUGAGACACGGCCCAGACUCCUACGGGAGGCAGCAGUGGAGAAUUUUGGACAAUGGGGGCAACCCUGAUCCAGCCAUCCCGCGUGUGCGAUGAAGGCCUUCGGGUUGUAAAGCACUUUUGGCAGGAAAGAAACGUCGCGGGCUAAUACCCCGUGGAACUGACGGUACCUGCAGAAUAAGCACCGGCUAACUACGU